UGGCGGCGUGGAUAAGACAUGCAAGUCGAACGAGAGAAUUGCUAGCUUGCUAAUAAUUCUCUAGUGGCGCACGGGUGAGUAACACGUGAGUAACCUGCCCCCGAGGGCGGGAUAGCCCUGGGAAACUGGGAUUAAUACCGCAUAGUAUCGAAAGAUUAAAGCAGCAAUGCGCUUGGGGAUGGGCUCGCGGCCUAUUAGUUAGUUGGUGAGGUGACGGCUCACCAAGGCGAUGACGGGUAGCCGGUCUGAGAGGAUGUCCGGCCACACUGGAACUGAGACACGGUCCAGACACCUACGGGUGGCAGCAGUCGAGAAUCAUUCACAAUGGGGGAAACCCUGAUGGUGCGACGCCGCGUGGGGGAAUGAAGGUCUUCGGAUUGUAAACCCCUGUCAUGUGGGAGCAAAUUAAAAAGAUAGUACCACAAGAGGAAGAGACGGCUAACUCUGUGCCAGCAGCCGCGGUAAUACAGAGGUCUCAAGCGUUGUUCGGAAUCACUGGGCGUAAAGCGUGCGUAGGCUGUUUCGUAAGUCGUGUGUGAAAGGCGCGGGCUCAACCCGCGGACGGCACAUGAUACUGCGAGACUAGAGUAAUGGAGGGGGAACCGGAAUUCACGGUGUAGCA
rnacentral:rRNA from 1 species